GUGCUUGCUUCGGCAGCACAUGUACUAAAAUUGGAACGAUACAGAGAAGAUGAGCACGGCCCUUGUGCAAGGAUGACACGCAAAUUUGCGAAGGGUUCCAUAAAAAA